GACGAACGCUGGCGGCGUGCUUAACACAUGCAAGUCGAACGGAAAGGCCCUGCUUUUGUGGUGUGCUCGAGUGGCGAACGGGUGAGUAACACGUGAGUAACCUGCCCUUGACUUUGGGAUAACUUCAGGAAACUGGGGCUAAUACCGGAUAGGAGCUCCUGCUGCAUGGUGGGGGUUGGAAAGUUUCGGCGGUUGGGGAUGGACUCGCGGCUUAUCAGCUUGUUGGUGGGGUAGUGGCUUACCAAGGCUUUGACGGGUCGCCGGCCUGAGAGGGUGACCGGCCACAUUGGGACUGAGAUACGGCCCAGACUGCUACGGGAGGCAGCAGUGGGGAAUAUUGCACAAUGGGCGGAAGCCUGAUGCAGCAACGCCGCGUGCGGGAUGACGGCCUUCGGGGUGUAAACCGCUUUCGCCUGUGACGAAGCGUGAGUGACGGUAAUGGGUAAAGAAGCACCGGCUAACUACGUG
rnacentral:rRNA from 1 species